GACGAACGCUGGCGGCGUGCUUAACACAUGCAAGUCGAACGGAAAGGCCCUGCUUGCAGGGUGCUCGAGUGGCGAACGGGUGAGUAACACGUGGGUGAUCUGCCCCUUACUUUGGGAUAAGCCUGGGAAACUGGGUCUAAUACUGGAUAGGACCAUGCUGUAGGUGGUGUGGUGGAAAGAUUAGUUUCGGUAAGGGAUGAGCUCGCGGCCUAUCAGCUUGUUGGUGGGGUAAUGGCCUACCAAGGCGUCGACGUGUAGCCGGCCUGCGAGGGUGGACGGCCACAUUGGGUCUGAGAUGCGGCCCAGACUCCUACGGGAGGCAGCAGUGGGGGAUAUGGCACAAUGGGCGCAAGCCUGAUGCAGCGACGCCGCGUGGGGGAUGACGGCCUUCGGGUUGUAAACUCCUUUCAGCCAUGACGAAGCCCUUGUGGUGACGGUAGUGGUAGAAGGAGCACCGGCUAACUACGU
rnacentral:rRNA from 1 species